GACGAACGCUGGCGGCGUGCUUAACACAUGCAAGUCGAACGGAAAGGCCCUGCUUUUUUGGGUUGCUCGAGUGGCGAACGGGUGAGUAACACGUGAGUAACCUUCCCUUGACUUUGGGAUAACUUCAGGAAACUGGGGCUAAUACCGGAUAGGAGCUCCUGCUGCAUGGUGGGGGUUGGAAAGUUUCGGCGGUCGGGGAUGGACUCGCGGCUUAUCAGCUUGUUGGUGGGGUAGUGGCUUACCAAGGCUUUGACGGGUAGCCGGCCUGAGAGGGUGACCGGCAACAUUGGGACAGAGAUACGGCCCAGACUCCUACGGGAGGCAGCAGUAGGGAAUAUUGCACAAUGGGGGGAAGCCUGAUGAAGCAACGCCGCGUGCGGGAUGACGGCCUUCGGGUUGUAAACCGCUUUCGCCUGUGACGAAGCGUGAGUGACGGUAAUGGGUAAAGAAGCACCGGCUAACUACGUG
rnacentral:rRNA from 1 species